AGUGAACGCUGGCGGUAGGCCUAACACAUGCAAGUCGAACGGCAGCACAGUAAGAGCUUGCUCUUACGGGUGGCGAGUGGCGGACGGGUGAGGAAUACAUCGGAAUCUACUUUUUCGUGGGGGAUAACGUAGGGAAACUUACGCUAAUACCGCAUACGACCUACGGGUGAAAGCAGGGGAUCUUCGGACCUUGCGCGAUUGAAUGAGCCGAUGUCGGAUUAGCUAGUUGGCGGGGUAAAGGCCCACCAAGGCGACGAUCCGUAGCUGGUCUGAGAGGAUGAUCAGCCACACUGGAACUGAGACACGGUCCAGACUCCUACGGGAGGCAGCAGUGGGGAAUAUUGGACAAUGGGCACAAGCCUGAUCCAGCCAUACCGCGUGGGUGAAGAAGGCCUUCGGGUUGUAAAGCCCUUUUGUUGGGAAAGAAGAGCAGCAGGUUAAUACCCCGCUGUUCUGACGGUACCCAAAGAAUAAGCACCGGCUAACUUCGUG
rnacentral:rRNA from 1 species